UUAAAAUGAAUUAAAAAUAACCAGAAAAGAGAAAAUUCACAAAAAAUAUCAAAUGACAAAUAAAAAAAAAUUAAAAAUCAGAAAUAGAAACUAGAAUUUAUUUGGGAACUAAUGCAAUUGGUCCCAUAAUUUUUGGAUAAAAAAUGAAAGAGAUAUUGAUUUUUGAAAAUAAUUGGAAUUAAAGAAAAUAAAAGGAAAAUAAAACAGAAAAUAGAAAUUGUAAAAAGCGUGGACCGUCUGAUCUAAGCUCAUUAAUUGAGCUGGCAAAUCAAGAGGCCACGAAGCGCGCGCCUACCAUGGAUCCAAGUCAAUGCGUGCACAUGUGAAACAAUAGGAAGUCAUAACAAGCAAGGGACGAGAUUCAAUCUGGGAAAUAGAUCCAAU
rnacentral:lncRNA from 1 species